rnacentral:rRNA from 1 species
AUUGAACGCUGGCGGCAUGCUUUACACAUGCAAGUCGAACGGUAACAGGCCUUCGGGUGCUGACGAGUGGCGAACGGGUGAGUAAUGCAUCGGAACGUGCCCAAUCGUGGGGGAUAACGUAGCGAAAGUUACGCUAAUACCGCAUAAGCCCUGAGGGGGAAAGUGGGGGACCGCAAGGCCUCACGCGAAUGGAGCGGCCGAUGUCAGAUUAGCUAGUUGGUGGGGUAAAGGCUCACCAAGGCGACGAUCUGUAGCGGGUCUGAGAGGAUGAUCCGCCACACUGGGACUGAGACACGGCCCAGACUCCUACGGGAGGCAGCAGUGGGGAAUUUUGGACAAUGGGCGCAAGCCUGAUCCAGCCAUGCCGCGUGCGGGACGAAGGCCUUC